GACGAACGCUUGCUCCUUUCUUAACACAUUCAAGUCGAACGUAAAGGCCCUGCUUUUGUGGGGUGCUCGAGUGGCGAACGGGUGAGUAACACGUGAGUAACCUGCCCUUGACUUUGGGAUAACUUCAGGAAACUGGGGCUAAUACCGGAUAGGAGCUCCUGCUGCAUGGUGGGGGUUGGAAAGUUUCGGCGGUUGGGGAUGGACUCGCGGCUUAUCAGCUUGUUGGUGGGGUAGUGGCUUACCAAGGCUUGGACGGGUAGCCGGCCUGAGAGGGUGACCGGACACAUUGGGACUGAGAUACGGCCCAGACUCCUACGGGAGGCAGCAGUGGGGAAUAUUGCACAAUGGGCGGAAGCCUGAUGCAGCAACGCCGCGUGCGGGAUGACGGCCUUCGGGUUGUAAACCGCUUUCGCCUGUGACGAAGCGUGAGUGACGGUAAUGGGUAAAGAAGCACCGGCUAACUACGGG
rnacentral:rRNA from 1 species